rnacentral:rRNA from 1 species
GCCAUGCAGGUCUCAGUACGGCCUCUAGCAAAAAGGCGAAACCGCGAAUGGCUCAUUAAAUCAGUUAUGGUUCCUUAGAGCUUACGUUGUCUUACUUGGAUAACCGUGGUAAUUCUAGAGCUAAUACAUGCACCGAAGCUCCGACCCUCUCACGGGAACGAGCGCUUUUAUUAGACCGCAAAGACCGUAUCCGGCAAACCGGUGUGCUGUCAAAGGCCAUCCGGGGAUCCGUGUUUGCGUGGUGACUCUGGAUAACCUAGCCGAUCGGCCGUCGAGGCCCGUGAAAAAAAUUGCGGGUUCCGAAACGGCCGACGCACCUUUCAAGUGUCUGCCUUAUCAACUGUCGACGGUAGGUUAAAUGCCUACCGUGGUAGUAACGGGUGACGGGGAAUCAGGGUUCGAUUCCGGAGAGGAAGCCUGAGAAACGGCUACCACAUCCAAGGAAGGCAGCAGGCUCGCAAAUUACCCACUCCCGGCACGGGGAGGUAGUGACGAAAAAUAACGAUGCGGGACUCGGUCGAGACCCCGCCAUCGGAAUGAGUACACUCUAAAUCCUUUAACGAGGAUCCACCGGAGGGCAAGUCUGGUGCCAGCAGCUGCGGUAAUUCCAGCUCCGGUAGCAUAUGCUAAAGUUGCUGCGGUUAAAAAGCUCGUAGUUGGAUUUCAGUCUCGGCCGCUCGGUCUCGCCCGUGUUGGCGGGUCUCGAUUGCGGCCGGUCAGAAUGUCGGCCGCCCGGGAUGAUCUUGACCGGUUGUCUCGGAACGGCCGGCGAGUUUACUUUGAAAAAAUCAGAGUGCUCAGAGCGGGCGUUAUCCGCCCGGACGCCCGUGCAUGGAAUAAUGGAAGAGGACCUCGGUUCUUGUGUCUGUUGGUCCGCGAACCCUGAGGUAAUGAUUAAGAGGAACGGCCGGGGGCGAUCGUACCGCGACGCUAGAGGUGAAAUUCUUGGACCGUCGCGUGACGCACCACAGCGAAAGCAUUCGUCAAGAACGCUUCCGUUAAUCAAGAACGAAAGUCAGAGGUUCGAAGGCGAUCAGAUACCGCCCUAGUUCUGACCAUAAACGAUGCCGACCAGCGAUCGGGCUGCGCUCGCCACGACGAGGCGCCCGGAAGCUUGCCCGGGAAACCAGAGUCUCUGGGUUCCGGGGGAAGUAUGGUUGCAAAGCUGAAACUUAAAGGAAUUGACGGAAGGGCACCACCAGGAAUGGAGCCUGCGGCUUAAUUUGACUCAACACGGGAAAACUCACCCGGCCCGGACACGGGAAGGAUUGACAGACUGAUUGCUCUUUCUUGAUUCUGUGGGUGGUGGUGCAUGGCCGUUUCUAGUUGGUGGAGCGAUUUGUCUGGUUGAUUCCGAUAACGAACGAGACUCUAGCCUGCUAAAUAGCUAGCUCUUUUUAUAGGCUUUUUGCUCGCCUUCCGCGGGUUAUUGCGGAUCCGUUCGGUCUCGUCGUCGCCGUGUUUCGGCGUGACUGUCUGCUUGCGUCGGCAGCUCGCUGCUGGCGUCUGGUGGGCUUGCGUCGUCCGCGGUUUUUCGGCGGGGCUGUCGGUUCGUGAGCUCCGGAAAGGGCGAGCGAAGCUAGGGCUACGGAAUCUCUUCUUAGAGGGACAAGCGACGCAUUAAAGUCGCGCGAGGAAGAGCGAAAACAGGUCUGUGAUGCCCUUAGAUGUCCGGGGCCGCACGCGCGCUACACUGACGCCCACAGCGUGCGCGCUCGCCCGGUCCGACAGGACCGGGGAACCCCGUCAACGGACGUCGUGAUGGGGACAGGGGAUUGGAAUUGUUCCCCUCGAACGAGGAAUUCCCAGUAAGCGCGAGUCACUAGCUCGCGUUGAUUACGUCCCUGCCCUUUGUACACACCGCCCGUCGCUACUACCGAUUGAACGGUUCGGUGAGGUCCUCGGACUGGCUUACGCUGGCGGGCCGCUUUUCGCAAUUUAUUGCGUUAAUGCCCGAUGCGGUAGUCGGAAAGUCGAUCGAACCGUAUCGUUAGAGGAAGUAAAAGUCGUAACAAGGUUUCC